GACGAACGCUGGCGGCGUGCUUAACACAUGCAAGUCGAACGGAAAGGCCCCUUUGGGGGUACUCGAGUGGCGAACGGGUGAGUAACACGUGAGUAACCUGCCCUUGACUUCGGGAUAACUUCAGGAAACUGGGGCUAAUACCGGAUAGGAAUCCUUGCUGCAUGGUGGGGGUUGGAAAGCUUCGGCGGUUUUGGAUGGACUCGCGGCUUAUCAGCUUGUUGGUGGGGUAGUGGCUUACCAAGGCUUUGACGGGUAGCCGGCCUGAGAGGGCGACCGGCCACAUUGGGACUGAGAUACGGCCCAGGCUCCUACGGGAGGCAGAAGGGGGGAAGAUUGCACAAUGGGCGGAAGCCGGAUGAAGAAGCGCCGCGUGCGGGAUGACGGCCUUCGGGUUGAAAACCGCUUUCAGCAGGGGCGAAGCUUGUGGUGACGGUACCUGCAGAAGAAGCACCGGCUAACUACGUG
rnacentral:rRNA from 1 species